ACAAUUUAUGCUCUCAUCUUAAUACUUGUAUAUGGCAAGUCCGAUGGAAACCAGCUAUCCAUCCAGAAGUGUAUUAUGUAUGUUGUGGCAAGCAUGGCAUGUUAUUUCCAUCCAGAAUGCCAAUGGGUCUGUAAACUAGAGCUUAUUUUUGGGAGUUUUAUUUAAAGGGCAGCUGUAAAAUUUGAGCUUAAUUUGGGAAAUUUUACCGACAUGAGAGUUGCAUUUCUUCAAACGCACAUGAUUCAGUACGGAACAUCUCAUAUUUAGCUCAAUGAGCCAAGCAUAUAGCACAAGGGAGAUGUUAAAGGAAUUCCGUAUUUAUCCGGCUUACUUAUUUCAAGGCUUAAGAAUUUAUAUGAGCAGUGGCUCAACUAGUGUAGGCAUAAAGCAGAACUUGUUCACAUCGUCAAGCAAGUGACACGCCACAUAAUUAUCAUUCAUCAAGUAGCAUCCGACUUUCCUAGGCCCUUUAUUUUGGCAGGUAGUCAGCCACCUCCUUAUUCCCAUUCAUGCAUGUUUUCCCCCACUAAAGGGAAAAAUCACUGAACCUAAGGUAGACUCUCCAGAGCACAUGUUAACUGGUCAGAACUCUGAAUUAAUUGCUGGUUACCAGAGCUAGCUUUACCAGGCAUCUGUUUUAAUUCGAACACCCGAAGGACGGAUCCCAUGUUUCAUUUGGCAUGGAACACACAACUAUGAGGAACAAUAUCGUACAUUGGGUAUAUGGCAUUAAUAGGUAAAUGAGGAAAUAACUGAGAGCAAUAUGCUUCUGGGCUCUGGCAGACAUGAGACGAAAUUCGUUUCUAACAGGCUAUGGUGUUGUGUAACUGCACUGUUGUACUAGAGCUAUAUAUUUGGAUCAAACAAUCACUCAUAAAAAAAUUCCUCAAAAACUUAUAUUACAUUUUUUUUGUUAUCUCAAAAAGUAUAUCACUGUCAUUGAACAAGACAGGAUGUGCAGAGUGAGCCCCUAGCUUUGAGGAUAUGACAACCGACGAUAUGUAUCGGGAAUGGAAAGCACAGUUCAAAAUGGAAAGGCAUUUCGUGUGAAGCUUCUGAGGGAAGCGCACAUCUGAACCUUCAUUCGAGGUUGCCUGCUCACUCUGGAAUUUAUGCUUUUCCUACUGCUAGCUGUCUCAUGUAAAUGCAUCAGAAAGAAAUGCCGUGCUGCUAGCUAGCCAUGUUCAAAUCGAGAUUGUUUCAAGGCUAACCUUGCACCACCUACAUAUAUGUGCUGAUUUAGUACAACUUUGUCCUAAAUCAGCGACAAUUAAUAUGGAUCGGAGGGAGUAUCCUUUUUCUUCAUCCUUGGCUCUCUCUCACAGUCGCGGAGGAUAUUGGCUGCUUGGUGAAACCGUCUUUACAAAAUGGCCAUGCGAUAAGUAGCUUUGAUUUUACCCCCAGUAGUUGUGUUAGAGUACGUAAUGGGCCUAAUGGGCCCGUUAGUCUUAGGGUUAAUUAGAGAUAAGAGUCGCUUACUUAGGGGUCAAGUAAGCCUUGCUUGGGAGUCAAGUAAACCUCUCUAUAUAAAGAGAGGAGAUGUAUCAAUCUAAUCAAGCAAGAAUUAAGAAGGAAAUCCCUUCCCUCUUGCCCGGCCGUGGGCAAAAAGGCCCCCGGCCGGCCCUCUCGCGCCCUCCUUCUAGCAGCGCCAUAACAAGUUGUUUAGUUAAUAAACCUAGUGCAGCAUGAUUCGUCUUGUACAUGCUCCACUUCUCAUCUAGAAUGGCAUGCUGAUCUAAACACAGCCAGCCAGCUUUGAGAAAACUGUUUCGAAGAUGAUCUGUCAUGUCUUUCUGAACUUUGGUGAAAUUCUUAAACUAAUUAGAAUUUAGAAGUAUCAUUUACAUGUCUUUAGCCUGAAACCAUUAUAUUUAUAUAUAACUGUCCAUGCCGCCGAGGAGUAGUUAGGGCCCCGUCGUGUAGCUUAUUAGUUCUAUAAUAUCUGAGAGAGAGAGAAAAGAGAGAGGGGUGGAUGGAUCCUGUAUAUAUCUUUGGAGUCCAAACUGGUAGUAAUCUGUAGUUUCGAUUGAUCUUGAAUCAUUGCUAAAUUGAAGCUGAAAAACUUGAUCGAAUAGCCAAUUCCAAUCUCCAUUUUGUGUAUCUUUCGUUUGGAUGUCUUGUUAUGUUGAUCCUUUUGCUUGUUCUUGAUCUUGAUGCCCAUGUGAACAACGAUCUUCUCUUGCUGCAAUGUUUCAGUAUUUUUUUUGAAACGAAUGUUUCAGGCAGUUUCACUUGAUUAGCCGUUCUUGAGGGACAAUCUUGGAAUUGCUUGAUUUAGCAGGGUGCGAAUCAUGAAAAUUUUGUGUAGCGAGUGAUCUGAUUUGGGGGAAGGGGAUCAGAGAGGUCUACCAAUUUAGGGAAUAUUUCUAGGGUCGUAGCAUAGGAGAUGCUCAAUUGGGCAAGCAAGGCUGAGCUACAUGCUAGGGUUCCUCUGGGCAAGCUGCUGGAUCGGGCCGCCACUUUCUCCUCAGGCUCCAAGUUGUUCGUCCGAGGUCUGUCCUACAACUCGAAUGAAGUUGCUCUCAAGGACGCCUUCUCUCAGCAUGGCAAUGUUAUCCAAGUGAAAGUAAUAUGCCAUCCUGUCACGGGGAGAUCCAAAGGAUACGUCUUGGUCAAGUUCUCUUCAGAAACUGAAGCAGCCGCGGCGUUGGAGAGGAUGAGUGACGAGGUGCUUGAUGGAAAGAAAAUACGGGUGGAUUAUGCAAACAGCGAACAAUCUGCUGCUGCUGCUGCUGCAGAUGAGACUAGUUCACACACCCAAGGAAAGGACAAGCCGCCAGACAGUCAUUUAUCAAGCUGCAUCCGAAUUUUCUAGGCCCUUUACAAUGUCUUCUCCUAAGCAUGAGACCUUUAUCCGAGGGACACAUACUGGGCUCCAUUUGGCAUAAGCAUUGUUUCGCAAAGGGAACCAUGAACCAUCUGUAGUUGCCCCCAAAGGUCACGGUGCUGUAUAACUUCACUGUAAGAACUAAAGGAGCAGCAGGAGACUCCUAAUUCUAUAUUUUAACAAAAUAAGAUAUGUAACUAUCAGUGUACUCUACAAGUGGUAGAAGACAGAAUCUAAAUUGCAAUAAAGUUGGCAGAAGUGGUCAGGGAAUUAGCAAGCUCCCGAGUGACCCUCAACUUCAGAAUUUCAAUAUCUGCCUUGAACAUUCUAAUCCAGUCCCUAAUAUCAGCAGGGAUGGCAUGAAAAAAAGCACAUGUUUCUGUUUUUCCAGAUGUUCCAAGCCGCAAGAAUUGCCCUGUUUUCGGGUGCGUCUAGGUCCUAUAUCACUAGUUCAAAUCAAUAGUUAAGGAGUACCUCUUGCAAAUGUCACUUCCAUAUCCUCUGAUGACAAUGUAUGCCAGUUUUGGUGGAAUUUUCUUCCCACCCACGCAGGAGGGCUGGAUGGUUUGUUUAUGUUUCUUUACCCGAUUAAAAUAAAUAAAUAUCUUGUUAACUGGGUGUCCAAAUUACAAACCGUUCCCACCAUUGCAUUUCUCGCAUUGAUAUCUUCAAAAUUAGAUCACAUGUUGAUAAGUUUUGGCAAAAUUAUUUCGAUCGAAAAUCAUGUUCCCAAUGUGAAUUAACAUGUGCUCCAAACUGUACUAACUCGGGAAGCAUGCAUAUACUUUAUAUCAUCAGUGCAGACUGCAAUAAUCUUG